CCGCACCUCCAGGCGGGAGCGAUGCGGCGCCGCUUCUGGGGCGUGUUCAACUGCCUGUGCGCCGGCGCGUUCGGGGCCUUGGCUGCCGCCUCCGCCAAGCUGGCCUUCGGCAGCGAGGUGGUAAGAGACUUCGGGGACUGAGGCUUGUACCCUUAUCUGGGACCUAAAAUCUGUCCUCCGACUGGGCUAGUUCACUCUCGGGGAAGACGCACACCUUCUACAUCCACUCUCUACCUCUCAUUUUAAGCCCUUUGUGCCCGAACAUUUCUCUCCACGUGACUGUAAAGGUGAGAUAUCUGUUGCCCAUCUGUUUAACUCCGUAGUUAAUGGCUGUUUUGACUGAUCUCCCCUGCUGGCGGAAACUUGGGAAUUUGGGAUAUCCUAGGUAUAAGGGAGACUGAGAGAAACAUUAUGGACAUAACCCCGAUGUUGAGAACUCCUGAACUGCCUCCCCAUGUCUGCUAAAGGCGUACCUUUGCCUCUCCCAUCGCGAGUCAUAGGCCACCUUCUGCUUGUUAAAGAGAUUUCAUUGCAUCUGCAACCCAGGGUUAGGCCCUGACCUGGGCAGUAGACAGGUUGAUUCUUUAGGUUUAAGCUAAUCCAGUGGGAGCUGCCAUGCUCGAGGUUGGUAUCCUGUUGGGUGUAAUUCUUGGAGUAAGUGGUCCAAAGUAAGAUGAGUGACUAUGAGCCAUGAGGUUUUUCUAGUCUUCUUAGUUGUGCAUCAGACCGUCAAAAGCCUUUACAUAAGCAGGCUGGCACUGGCACAUAAAAUGCUUCUGUGUAAAUUAUACAGAGACACUCCAUCCUUAAGACUGUAUAUUCAGCUGCUGAUGAGAAGUAAGAGGAUGAGGUGCAUGGGCACCAUCCUCAGGGGAAGCAGCUGUCUGCAGGCAGGUUUAUAACUCAAAACCAAACAAGGGGUCUGCAUAUCCUUUGUGUAGGAGGCUUCUAAAGAUCCUCUCUUCUUUCAGUGCUCUCCUUUAAAAAAAAAAAGAAAAAUAUCUGCAAGUUCUCCAAGUGAUGCCUGGGGUCACCAGUCAAAUAGUCCCCCGUGUGGUUUCCCUAGGCAUGGCUGUGUCCUAGUUUAGAUCAUGGAGCCACACUUCCUGGGCCUGAAUCCUGGCGGCUCCCCCCAGCUGUGGCGUUUUAGGCAGGUUACUUAAUGCCUCAGGUUCUUUAUCUGUAAAAUGAAGUUAAGGAAUAAAUGAAAAUUUACUUAAAACACUUAGCACAGGGCCUGGUACAGAGUAAAAGCCCAAGAAUGCCCAGUGGGACCGGCCUGAGUGGGUUUUAGCCUUCACAGAAUGGGGGUGGGGGUGGGGAGACGACUAAUUCAUGCUUUACCUGAUCCCGGGAAGUGACGACUCCGCCCCUGAUUUACUCAUCCCUCAGACUGAGCAAUAACCACUUGGCCUGCUGAGACUGAACUUCAUGCACUCGUCACUGUGAGGCCAAUAAGGGACUGGUGUUCAAUAGAAGAUAACUGGUAUGGAUUCGCAUUUUACUUCUGUCCAAGGUCACACGGCUGGCAAGAUGGCCAAAUAGCUGUCUUCUAAGAGGUUGUUUCAUGGCUGUUAAAUGGGUGUGCGCCCUGCUGAGGGUUAAGUGAAGCCCUGUGCAGGAAAGCUCUGAGGACCCCCAGGCUGUGGUGGCCCGGCUGCCAGCAGUAACCAUGACCCUGGCUGCUGUGAGGGGGUCUGCCGGUCAUGCUGCCCAGGGCUGGCCGUGGCUGCAGUGACACUUUCUCCUGCAGGUGAACGUGGGCUUCUGCGUCUUAGGCAUUAUUGUGAUGGCUACCACCAAUUCUCUGAUGUGGACGUUCUUUAGCCGGGGCCUCAGUUUCUCCAUGUCUUCAGCCAUUGCAUCUGUCACAGUGACUUUUUCAAAUAUCCUCAGCUCGGUGAGUAGCCUGAGCGUACAGUUUCUCUGUCCCAAACCUGGGCUCUGGGAGGGUUCUGGGUGGGUUGUCCUUGGGCAACCCCUGCUUCUACAUAGGAGAAGGGCCAGGAACUGAAGCAGAGGUUGGGCUGUGUCUUGACUCGCGGUGGCUGCUCCUCUAAUCUCUAACUUGGAGGAAUUCUCAAGUUAGAUGGGGAUGAAGUCCAACUGUCAAAAGCCUACUUGCUUGCUGUUCCUCAGGGGUCUGUGAACUCAGGCAGGAGAUGUGGAGGGUCGAGGUUCUUCUCUCCCAGGUGGGGCUGAGCCAUUCAGCCCUGCAGUCCAGGCAGGGAGGACUUGGUGGACCAGCUGUGUGCUGGGCCUGGCUGCCGGCCUCUGCUGGGCUUUCUUGUGCACUUUGCUGGGUCCGAUGCUGUGAGGAGGUACCCUCCCCACUUCUCCAGGUGAGAUAUGCUGAAGGUAACAGAUGGGUUUCAGGCCCAAGACUUCCAGCUCCAGACCUUUCCUCCCGCCCUAGGAGGGCACUCAGCCACAGGGGAGUCAGGUGGUGCCCACCCACCGUGGUCGCAUCCUGCGGGCACGUGCCUGCCCAGCCUCACAGCUCUCUCUGUCCUGCAGGCCUUCCUGGGUUUUGUGUUGUAUGGAGAGUGCCAGGAGGUCUUGUGGUGGGGAGGAGUCUUCCUCAUCCUCUGCGGACUCACCCUGAUCCACAGGGAGCUCCCACCACCCAGGA